GGGGGGAACGAACGGUGGAAUGAGCGGCGGACGGGUGAGUAACACGUAAAGAACCUGCCCAUAGGUCUGGGAUAACCACGAGAAAUCGGGGCUAAUACCGGAUGUGUCAUCGGACCGCAUGGUCCGCUGAUGAAAGGCGCUCCGGCGUCGCCCAUGGAUGGCUUUGCGGUGCAUUAGCUAGUUGGUGGGGUAACGGCCCACCAAGGCGACGAUGCAUAGCCGACCUGAGAGGGUGAUCGGCCACACUGGGACUGAGACACGGCCCAGACUCCUACGGGAGGCAGCAGUAGGGAAUCUUCCACAAUGGACGAAAGUCUGAUGGAGCAACGCCGCGUGAACGAUGAAGGCUUUCGGGUCGUAAAGUUCUGUUGUAAGGGAAGAACAAGUGCCGCAGGCAAUGGCGGCACCUUGACGGUACCUUGCGAGAAAGCCACGGCUAACUACGUGCCAGCAGCCGCGGUAAUACGUAGGUGGCAAGCGUUGUCCGGAAUUAUUGGGCGUAAAGCGCGCGCAGGCGGCCUCUUAAGUCUGAUGUGAAAGCCCCCGGCUCAACCGGGGAGGGCCAUUGGAAA
rnacentral:rRNA from 1 species